AUUUUUUACAGCCAAAACAGUCCUACUUGCUACAGUUAGUAGACAUAGAAUUUGAACAAGAGGGAGUUUGAUGUUGUGGAAAGGUCAUUUAAGCCACGCAAAUGAGCCCAUCUUCACUCUAAGGAUUUUUCUGGGUAGAAACAUGGCAUCGGCUAUUGGACUCUCUCUUGGUCUGCAGGUUGCAAGUCAGGUUGGAGUGGCGGCUCAGUUGGGUUCCAGCAAGGGCCCUCUUCCUGGUUUACAGACAGCAGCCUUCUUACUGUAUCCUUGCAUGGCAGAGAGAUCAUUUCUCUCACGUUUCCUUUCAUAAAGGCACUGAUCCCACCAUGAGGCCUCCACCCUUGUGACUUCAUUAC
rnacentral:lncRNA from 1 species